rnacentral:rRNA from 1 species
AACGAACGCUGGCGGCAGGCCUAACACAUGCAAGUCGAACGAAGUCUUCGGACUUAGUGGCGGACGGGUGAGUAACACGUGGGAACGUACCUUUUGGUUCGGAACAACUCAGGGAAACUUGAGCUAAUACCGGAUGAGCCCUUAGGGGGAAAGAUUUAUCGCCGAAAGAGCGGCCCGCGUUAGAUUAGCUAGUUGGUGAGGUAAAGGCUCACCAAGGCUACGAUCUAUAGCUGGUCUGAGAGGAUGAUCAGCCACACUGGGACUGAGACACUGCCCAGACACCUACGGGUGGCUGCAGUCAAGAAUCUUCCACAAUGGGGGAAACCCUGAUGGAGCGACGCCGCGUGUAGGAUGAAGGCCUUCGGGUCGUAAACUACUUUUAUAGGGGACGAAUACGUGACGGUACUCUAUGGAUAAGAGGUUGCUAACUCUGUGCCAGCCGCCGCCGUAAAAC